rnacentral:rRNA from 1 species
CCAAGCUGACGACUUUGCCGGACUUGCCGAGAGGAGGUGCAUGGCCGCCGUCAGCUCGUAUCGUGAGACGUCCUGUCAAGUCAGGUAACGAGCGAGACCCUUGCCUCUAGUUGCCAUCGGGUCCUUUGGAACGCCGGGCACUCUAGAGGGACCGCUGCCGAUAAGGCGGAGGAAGGAGAGGGCGACGGUAGGUCCGUAUGCCCCGAAUCCCCCGGGCAACACGCGGGCUACAAUGCGUAGGACAGAGGGUUGCAACCCCGAAAGGGGAAGCUAAUCCCUAAACCUACGCCUAGUUCGGGUCGAGGGCUGCAACCUGCCCUCGUGAAGCUGGAAUCCCUAGUAACCGUGUGUCACUAUCGCACGGUGAAUACGUCCCUGCUCCUUGCACACACCGCCCGUCAAGCCAUCCGAGUGGGAUCCGGAUGAGGCUUGCUC